UAUUUAGAAAUCUGCCUUAAGGUAGGGGAUAAGUACCCUUUAGGGGGUAUAAUACCGUAUAACCAAAGUAAUUUAUUACGCCUUAAGAUGAGUCUAAACAAGAUUAGGUAGUUGGUGGAUUAAAAGCCUACCAAGCCGAAGAUCUUUAGCGGGUUUAAGAGGAUGAUCCGCCACACUGGAACUGAGACACGGUCCAGACUUCAUAAUGAAGGCAGCAGUGAGAAAUCUUGGACAAUGGAUGAAAAUCUGAUCCAGCGAUACCACAUGGGUGAUGAAGGCUAUUUUGUCGUAAAGCCCUUU
rnacentral:rRNA from 1 species